CCUACGGGAGGCAGCAGUGGGGAAUAUUGGACAAUGGGGGCAACCCUGAUCCAGCCAUGCCGCGUGUGUGAAGAAGGCCCUCGGGUUGUAAAGCACUUUCAGUGAGGAAGAACGCCUUGUGGUUAAUACCCAUCAGGAAAGACAUCACUCACAGAAGAAGCACCGGCUAACUCCGUGCCAGCAGCCGCGGUAAUACGGAGGGUGCGAGCGUUAAUCGGAAUUACUGGGCGUAAAGCGCGCGUAGGUGGCUUGAUAAGCCGGUUGUGAAAGCCCCGGGCUCAACCUGGGAACGGCAUCCGGAACUGUCAAGCUAGAGUGCAGGAGAGGAAGGUAGAAUUCCCGGUGUAGCGGUGAAAUGCGUAGAGAUCGGGAGGAAUACCAGUGGCGAAGGCGGCCUUCUGGACUGACACUGACACUGAGGUGCGAAAGCGUGGGUAGCAAACAGGAUUAGAUACCCUAGUAGUC
rnacentral:rRNA from 1 species